CUUUAUACACUUUCUCUCUUUCUCUGAGGAGUUGGUUCUCCGUUUGCCUUUGGUUCUAGAGAUCCGGAAUCGGAACGGACGGCGGGGUCGCGAUCAACGGCGACACUUGGGUGCGACGUGCCGGCGCCGGAGGCCCACCUGGCGAGCCAGUUCCUGGCAGAGUGACAUGGCUCUUUACGGUAAAAAGGAAUGGUAUUUCUUUACCCCAAGGCCGAACCAGGCAGCUGGAACCGAAUACUAGAAGGCGACCGGAGCGGAUAAGCCGAUUGGGAAACAGUCAUUGUCGUUAGCGUCUCUCUACGGCGACGAGCAGCUCACAUAUUUUUUUUUUUACAUAAUUUUAGUAACUUGUGAACACACGUUACUAAAAAUAUUAUAUUUUUUUUAUUAUUUUGUUUAUAUAUAAAUUAGUA